CCUACGGGUGGCAGCAGUGAGGGAUAUUGGUCAAUGGGGGAAACCCUGAACCAGCAACGCCGCGUGAGUGAAGAAGGGUUUCGGCUCGUAAAGCUCUGUUGGUAGUGAAGAAAGAUAGAGGUAGUAACUGGCCUUUAUUUGACGGUAAUUACUUAGAAAGUCACGGCUAACUACGUGCCAGCAGCCGCGGUAAUACGUAGGUGGCAAGCGUUGUCCGGAUUUAUUGGGCGUAAAGCGAGUGCAGGCGGUUCAAUAAGUCUGAUGUGAAAGCCUUCGGCUCAACCGGAGAAUUGCAUCAGAAACUGUUGAACUUGAGUGCAGAAGAGGAGAGUGGAACUCCAUGUGUAGCGGUGGAAUGCGUAGAUAUAUGGAAGAACUCCGAUUGCGAAGGCAGCUCACUGGACUGCAACUGACACUGAUGCUCGAAAGUGUGGGUAUCAAACAGGAUUAGAUACCCGAGUAGUC
rnacentral:rRNA from 1 species